AGUGAACGCUGGCGGUAGGCCUAACACAUGCAAGUCGAACGGCAGCACAGUAAGAUCUUGCUCUUACGGGUGGCGAGUGGCGGACGGGUGAGGAAUACAUCGGAAUCUACUUUUUCGUGGGGGAUAACGUAGGGAAACUUACGCUAAUACCGCAUACGUCCUACGGGUGAAAGCAGGGGAUCUUCGGACCUUGCGCGUUUCAAUGAGCCGAUGUCGGAUUAGCUAGUUGGCGGGGUAAAGGCCCACCAAGGCGACGAUCCGUAGCUGGUCUGAGAGGAUGAUCAGCCACACUGGAACUGAGACACGGUCCAGACUCCUACGGGAGGCAGCAGUGGGGAAUAUUGGACAAUGGGCGCAAGCCUGAUCCAGCCAUACCGCGUGGGUGAAGAAGGCCUUCGGGUUGUAAAGCCCUUUUGUUGGGAAAGAAAAGCAGCAGGUUAAUACCCCGCUGUUCUGACGGUACCCAAAGAAUAAGCACCGGCUAACUUCGUG
rnacentral:rRNA from 1 species